CCCGCAGGCGCCGGGAGGGGCCUGGCCUGGCCUGGAAAACGCGGUAGAUUGCGGAUUGAGUCCGAGAGCUCCGUCCACUGGCGGCCGUUGUGGACCUGGUGGGGGAGGGCGGUUGCUCAAAGUACCCGGCCCAGGCCUGCUGCACCCCAGUUCCUUCAGCAUACGAAAACUGGGAGGGUUAGGCCCGGAGGCCAGGGUAGGGCAAACUUGCCCCCCUGCCCCACCCCGUCUGUUCCUCGAAACUUCUCAGGUCUUCCCAGCAGCGCCCGGUCCCAGAUGGGGUCCCAGGUCUCCGUGGACAUGGGAGCUGUGCACGUGGUGGUCGUGGGCGGUGGCUUCGGUGGGAUCGCCGCUGCCAGCCAGCUGCAGGCCCUGAACAUUCCCUUCACGCUGGUGGACAUGAAGGACUCCUUCCACCACAACGUGGCAGCCCUCAGGGCCUCCGUGGAAAGCGGGUUUGCCAAAAAGACCUUCAUUUCCUACUCGGCGACCUUCAAGGAAAACUUCCGGCAGGGGCUGGUAGUAGAGAUAGACCUGCAGAAUCAGACGGUGCUGCUCGAGGAUGGUGAGGCCCUGCCCUUCUCACAUCUUAUCCUGGCCACUGGCAGCACCGGGCUCUUUCCGGGCAAGUUUAACCAGGUUGCCAGCCUGGAGGUUGCCAUCCAGGCCUACGAGGACAUGGUGAAGCAGGUCCAGCGCUCCCAGUCCGUGGUGGUAGUGGGAGGCGGCUCUGCCGGAGUGGAGAUGGCGGCGGAGAUCAAAACCGAAUUCCCCGAGAAAGAGGUCACUCUCAUCCACUCCCAAGUGGCCCUGGCCGACAAGGAGCUUCUGCCCUGUGUCCGGCAGGAGGCGAAGGAGAUCCUGCUGCAGAAAGGCGUGCAGCUGCUGCUGAGUGAGCGGGUGAACAACCUGGAGCAGCUGCCUCUCAACGAGUAUCGAGAGCGCAUCCAAGUGCACACGGACAAGGGCACAGAGGUGGCCACUAACUUGGUGAUUGUCUGCAAUGGUAUUAGGAUCAACAGCUCUGCCUACCGCAGUGCGUUUGAAAGUCACCUGGCCGGCAAUGGUGCCCUGAGGGUGAACGAGUACCUCCAGGUGGAGGGCUGCAGCCAUGUCUAUGCCAUCGGCGACUGCGCAGAUGUGAAGGAGCCCAAGAUGGCCUAUCACGCCGGCCUCCAUGCCAGCGUCGCCGUGGCCAACAUCGUCAAUGCCAGGAAACAGAGGCCCCUCAAGGCCUACAAGCCAGGCGCACUGACGUUCCUGCUGGCCAUGGGGAGGAACGACGGCGUGGGGCAGAUCAGUGGCUUCUAUGUGGGGCGGCUCAUGGUUCGGCUGGCCAAGAGCCGGGACCUGUUCGUCUCCUCGAGCUGGAAGACCAUGCGGCAGUCUCCACCCUGAGCGGGAGCCGGGCCACUGCCUGCCGAACAGAUGGCUUUGACGAGAUCCUGAUGAUAUACCAUAGGUUACUUUUAAGAAGAAAGAGUUAGAUAAACUCUUCUUAGAGUUAGAUGUCCCUCCCAGUUAGCCUGUCCUAACAGAGAGAGGAACGCACUACCGUCCUCCGCCCAGGGCUCCGUGCCAGGGCGCCGCGGCCAAGCAGACUC